rnacentral:rRNA from 1 species
CCUUCGGUUCGGGAUAACCCUGGGAAACUAGGGCUAAUACCGGAUACGUCCGAGAGGAGAAAGGUUUACUGCCGAAGGAUCGGCCCGCGUCCGAUUAGCUAGUUGGAGAGGUAACGGCUCACCAAGGCGACGACCGGUAGCUGGUCUGAGAGGAUGAUCAGCCACACUGGGACUGAGACACGGCCCAG